rnacentral:tRNA from 1 species
GGGGAUCUAGCUCAGUUGGUAGAGUGCUUGCCUUGCAUGCACAAGGCCCUGGGUUCCAUCCCCAGCACCA